rnacentral:lncRNA from 1 species
GCGGACUCCAGGCGUUUCUCCUUUGGGGAGAAGCUGAAAAGGUUCCGGGAAAGGCCGCAGGUUUGCACGGCGAGGUCAGUCGCAGGUCUUGGGAGCCGCCAUGGGGCACGCACUGGUGUGGCUAAUCCAGAAACGGGACGGCUGGCGCCAGACCCGAAGUGACAAGUCUAAAACCUCCCCUUACAUUCCCACUACUCCCGCCAUUCCUUUAGUCUUCAUCAGAACUGUUCUUUUCUAGUCCUCCAUGUUGCCAAGAAAAAAAAAAAAAGAUCGUGAAGGGUUUACGAAACCAGAUACGGAUACGAUACAAUGUAAUCGGGAUGAGUAACUCCCAACGUUAGAUGUUAAACACUGCUAAUCUUCACAAAGGAAUCAGAUUCUCGUUCCAAAUUCUUACGCUCAUGAUAGUAAAAGCCGCCGUUUGGAGGGCUUUUCCUGUUUGCCAGGCCGUCUAGGUCAUUGCUGUCCACUAGAAAUAAAAUGAACCCCUUGUAAUUUAAAAUUUUACAGCAGCCGCUUUUUGAAAAAGUACAAAGAAACUGCUGAAAUUUAUUUUAAUGUGUUUUAUUGAAUGCAGUCUCUUCAAAAUACUCAUACGAAAUUAAUGACAUUUUACCUUUUUUUUCCGAACUAAGUUCAAGAUGCGAGGUGUGGCUUACUCAUGGUGUAAAUGUCUACUUGGAAGGCAAAUUUUCAUCGCAAAUACCUAAUCUGUAUUUAAAGUCCAUUAAAUUUACAACUGAAAAAGUAGAUUCACAUGCUCAAGUUAUUUCAAAAAUGAUUUUCCAAAAACAACUAUCAAUUUUUAAAUGUAAAAUUCAAUUAAAAUGAAAUAAAGCUUAAAAUUCAGUUCCCCAUUCCCGGGUAAGCCACGUUUUAAGUGCUCAGUAGCCACCUGUGUCUAGUGGCCACUGUUAAGGCAGGUUCAGGUGCUUACAUCACCAAUAAUCUCAUCUCAGACCUGCAAUGCAGUUCGUGUUACACCCAUCUACAUUCAGAAAGAGGCCCUGACAGCAUGACCAGUGCUGAGGAGUUCCCCAGGAUGUGGGAUUUUCUGUUUUAAAAUCAGAAGUUGGGACCUUUCCUCCCUCCCACCUCCCAGUCAAAUGCAAAGACACGCUUACAAAGAACAGCUGCAGACUUUUAUUUGCAAACAAAAGUGGAAAAUGAUAAAAACAAGGCAGUUUUCUCUAAAAUGUAAAAUGCUAUAAUUUCAAGCAUCAGGGCAUGACAGCAAUUUUGUCCACUUUGGAUGCAGUAAGACGUCAUUACAUGUAUUUGUAUUAUUAUUUACUCGAUCCUCAAACCAAACAUGAAAUAAUUUGUGGGAAAAUCAGCUGGUCUCACUGCCUUCACUCUCACCUCCCUCCUAAAACAUGCUGUAUAUUAUAACUGGUGGUGAUUUGUCCGAGUUAAGUACAAUCUAGCCAGCCAAUAUGUUUUUAUUUCUACUAUUUGUAUUUUUCCCCAUUCUAGGUUAAGAGAAAGAACUUGAGCCGUUGAAAGAAAGCUCCUCUCCCUUCUGAGGGCACCAGUGAAAAUCAGACCUUGCCAUAAUGGGUAGGUGUUACUGGGAGGUGACCUGUGGAACGCAACAGGGUAACUUUGGUGUCUCUACUCAGGAGGUGGGUACUGCUGUGGCAUACAACGUGCUCCUUAAGUGGAUUCUUUUGUAGCCAAGCCAACUUCCCAGCUAAGAACAAGCCCAGCACCUGAAAACAGAGGUCUGCAAUGACUAAAUCAUGGUCUGAAAUGGGCCAUUAGCGUCCUGUCUCUCACCAGGCAUAUCUGUGUUGAGAGAGACAACCCAGUUCCUGAAACUGCUUUCAAUCUAGGGGAGGGAAAUCAGGUUGGGGAGGUGGGGAGGUGACUGAUGCCCAUGUAUCCUUUCCUUUUUCUCUACCACUUCUGACAAAUAAGUCUCCUCUCUCACCUUUUUCGAGACUGGUGUCAAAGAGUGCUUUAUUUGGUUGAGAUGCAUAGGUACUUAAUGAAGAUUUGAAAUGAGCUGUCUGCAACAAUUUAGUCCACAACCAUUUUCUAAUACUUCAGGUAAAAAUGUGAGUCAUUUUCACGUUUUUUUCACCUUUGUACGGAGUCCCUCACCAGGGCCUGCUAACUUACUUCUCUUUCAUAUCCCCUGGAUUUGAUUCUGCUAUUUUAUUUCCUUGGUCAUCACCCUAGGAUUUGUUGCACCUGAAAUUUUCCAACUAAGUUACAAGAAGUAAGUCCAGAAAUUGUUGAUAUUCAGCUGCUCAGAGCCCUGUGAAAAACACUCCCAGGCACUAGCAGAAAGUAGCAGCGUUAAUUAGCAUCAGCAUUUAUAUUAGUUUGCAGGGCAACGGAGAACCCAGAGACUUCUUUCAGUGUGCAUGCUGCACAGUCUCCCACUUGUCUCCCACUUGUCUCCCAAGCCCUCAUGCAUGACAGCCCAAGCACCCAGAAGUAAAAGCAAGGAUUCCUAAGGAAUGGUCAAAGGAAAUAUUUAGAGCAAUAAAGAGAAAGAGGAGAUGGGUAUUGGAAUUAACCAUGGGGAAUUUCAGUGCACACAUGCUUUCUUAGUUUUGUACAUUUCCCUCAGGGGAAAUGCGUUGUGUGCUUACAAAUGGACAGCCCCUUUCUGCUGCUUGCUAGGUGUUUGAAUAGCUCUAGCUGUGUGCAUUAUUCAGGUGAUGGCCAAUGUGGCAGUCACGAGAACAUGCCUUUGCAGACCUCUUUUUACAAGGAACAAAAUUCACCGAAGACCCCGGCUGCUGCACUCUGAAAUUUAUCACGGUGCUUAGGUACAGCAUACCUCCCACAGGGUGCUCCCCACCAGUGACUGGAUGCAGCAGGAUACUAAGGCAGUUGUCCUGGGAGACAUCUCUUCUAUAGGCUGACUUUGGCUCAAGGGCUCCCUGACCAGCUUUGCCAAACCUUCCUUAGGGUGCACAACAUUCCAGGAUGCUCCUCCCAACCUUCUCUCCCUCUUACUUCACUCAGGAUUAGAUGCCUCUCCCAGCCAUUCUGUCUCUCUAUUUCCUUUCAAAUAGGUGUUUCCUCAAGUAAAAUCCUUACAUGUUAAUCUGCUCUUGGUGUGUGCUUUUUGGAGCACCCAGACUAGUGCUAAAUUCAGCUCUUAGAUGCAGUAAGUCUUUAAAUGUAAAAGGGAUAAGUCUUGAUUUAUCCACGAUACGAGAUUUUAACUAGGAAUGAGAAAACAAAAAUUUACUUAUGGUUAUGUUGAGGCCUGCUGAAUUAUAUAUUGAGAGUUGAUAUGUACUUAAUGUAUUUGACUUUUAUAAUCUUUGCUAAAGCUUUUCUACAGAAUGGGUUUUUUUUUUUUUUUUUUUGAUGUGUAUUUUUGAGAGAGAGAAAGAGUGUGUGCUUGAGCAGGGGAGGGGCAGAGAGAGAGGGGGACAGAGGAUCUGCAGUGGACUUCGUGCUGACAGCAGAGAGCCCGUUGUAGGACUUGAACCCACAAAAUGCAAGAUCAUGACCCGAGCCGAAAUUGGAUGUUUCACCUACUGAGCCACCCAGGCGCCCCCCAGGAUGAGAAGGUUUUAAAUACAACUUUCACUUUGUUCUUUCUCUGAUCUUUCUUAAGAAUUCUGAUUUCUGUCUGUAGGUUUGCAAUACAAAAAGAGAUUCUCUUUUUUCAAAAAGAGAACGCAUCUCAUCUCAACUCAACUCAACUCAUUAACUCAUAACUCAUUAACAUGUAAGGAUUUUAUUUGAGGAAACACCUAUUUGAAAGGAAAUAGCCAGAAUGGCUGGGAGAGGCAUGCGUCUAAUCCUGAGCGAAGUAAGAGGGAGAGAAGGUUGGGAGAAGCAUACUGGAAUGCAGUGCCCACGUCUUUUGAGGUUCUGAGGUCUAUUAAGAAGAGAGAUGAACCAGUCCUUUCAUCUAUACCCUAUCUUGGCCUCUGAAACUUCCCUUGUAUGAUUGGUCAUGAAUGCAGUCUCUUUCCUUAGAACUCCAUGAGUAAACAUCAUCUAACAUCGUUUAAAAACUUGCCCUCAAGUUCUUUGACAUUUUUCCCCACUAGAAAUGGAGUCUUUGUCUCCUCCUUUAAAAUCUGGGCUGGUCUUGGUGACCUGUUUGUAAUCAGUAAAACGAAGCAGAAGCGACGCUGUGUGACGUUGGAGGCGGGGCAACGGUUUUCUGGAGUGCUUUCUGCCUGGUUUUCUCAGAAUGCUUUCUGUGCCAUCAGGUGAGAAGCUCCCCUCUCCUACUAGGCUGAAUGUCGCCGCUCUGGUAGACAGUCUUGGCUGAGCUCCCAGUUGACAGGCAGUGUCAACUGCUGCUAGCCUUGUGAAUGCUUCAUCUUAGACAGCCAUGGCCCCGUUGAGCUCUUGGAUGACAGCGGCACAACCAUCUGACUACAACCACACAGCAACCUUCAGACGAGAACUACCCAGCUAAACCCUUCCCCAAUUCCCGACGUGUAAAAUCGAGAGC